UACGUAGGGUGCAAGCGUUUAAUCGGAAUUACUGGGCGUAAAGCGUGCGCAGGCGGUUUUGUAAGUCUGUCGUGAAAUCCCCGGGCUCAACCUGGGAAUUGCGAUGGAGACUGCAAGGCUAGAAUCUGGCAGAGGGGGGUAGAAUUCCACGUGUAGCAGUGAAAUGCGUAGAGAUGUGGAGGAACACCGAUGGCGAAGGCAGCCCCCUGGGUCAAGAUUGACGCUCAUGCACGAAAGGCGUGGG
rnacentral:rRNA from 1 species